rnacentral:tRNA from 1 species
GGCAUCUUGGCCGAGUGGUUAUGGCGUUCGCCUAGAAUAUUAUUCUACCUCUUUCGAGGGAAAGCGCAUGGGCUUUGCCCGCACAGGUUCGAGUCCUGUAGAUGUCG